ensembl:Mt_tRNA
GAGAUACUAGUAAAACAAUUACAUAGUCUUGUCAAGACUAAAUUACAGGUGAAACCCCAGUGUAUCUCCACACCCAACC